AGCUUUAUGAGUCCUUGCAGAGAUUUCGUCAGACACCAACCCAUUAGGACUAACCAGACUUCCAAGAUAAGUUAAGUU
rfam:Schistosoma haematobium scaffold17_21, whole genome shotgun sequence.